rnacentral:misc_RNA from 1 species
UUCGAACGAGACUUGGAGUUCUCGCACCUUGCGCGGAGUUUUUCGCUACUAUGUGUCUGUUUUGCCUGCUUUGUAAUCCAUUUUGAGAUCGGGAAGUUUGUAUUUGUGGUUUUGGAGAUGAUUUGAAUAGUGUAACAACACUGAUAAAAGUUAUUUAAUCCACAUAUAGCCAUAACUCAAGGUCAAAGUACACAAAAUGGCGGCGGAGGCCCAAAUUGACUGGACAAUGGUGAUAAACACGGAUUUUCACGGCAUCCAGAGGUGAGGUGAACCCUAUUAUGGCACAGACUUAGCCUUUUGGGUUCUAGGAAAGGUGAUGGCUGAAAUGGAUGUAUUGAAACUGACAAUUUAACGUGUUUUUGUAUCUGUCAAAACUGGAUGUCAGAAUCUACAUUUGCAUGUCGGUUCCCACCUCACCAGGGUGGUUUAGAUAUGUGUUCUCUGUGCGAGAUUGGGUCAUAUUUGAUUCCAUCGAACGCGAAAUGCUAUGAUUUCAGCUUCGAUGGAACCCAAUUCUAGAAACUAUGGACCUCGUGGAAGGGAAGAAAAUGAUAACAGUCCUUUGUGGACUGCCAUCUUUGACUAUGAGGCCACUAGAGAAGAUGAGUUGACACUAAAGAGAGGGGUGCAGGUGGAAGUGUUAUCCACUGAUGCCCGAUAUUCAGGAGAUGAUGGUUGGUGGAUUGGGAAAGUUCAAGAAAAUGUUGGGAUUUUCCCCAGUAACUUUGUCACCAAAGAAGCAGACAACUGUGCCCUUGUACCUCAUAACAAACUAUCUGACAGACCCUUUGAAAUCAACUUCUCAGAAUUACAGUUAGAAGAAGUGAUAGGUGUUGGUGGUUUCGGAAAAGUUUAUCGUGGAAUAUGGAAGGAAGAAACUGUUGCUGUCAAGGCUGCGAGGCAAGAUCCAGACGAGCCUGUCAUCGACGAUGUUCGAAAGGAAGCCAAAUUGUUCUGGCUCCUAAAUCACCCCAAUAUUGCAGCAUUGAGAGGGGUGUGUCUCAAGGAGCCGAACCUGUGUCUUGUUAUGGAAUAUGCAGCAGGUGGAUCACUUAACAGAGUGUUAAAUGGAAGACGGAUACCUCCAGAUAUAUUAGUCGAUUGGGCAUUUCAGAUAGCCAAAGGAAUGCAUUAUUUACACGAGGAAGCACCGCUACCAUUGAUACACAGAGAUCUCAAGUCAAGCAACAUCUUACUGAAGGAGACCAUCAACGUGGAUGACCUGUCCAACAAGACGCUCAAGAUCACCGACUUUGGUUUGGCUCGGGAGGUGGACAAGACAACAAGGAUGAGUGCGGCAGGAACGUAUGCCUGGAUGGCACCAGAAGUCAUCAAGUCAUCGCGCUUUUCAAAGUUCAGUGAUGUGUGGAGCUAUGGAGUGGUGCUAUGGGAACUGCUGACUGGGGAGACCCCAUACAAGGGCAUUGAUGCACUGGGUGUGGCAUAUGGUGUGGCUGUCAACAAGCUCACCCUGCCUAUCCCAAGCACCUGCCCAAAUCUCUUUGCUGACCUCAUGGCAGAUUGUUGGCAUCAGGAGCCCCAUGAACGACCCACAUUCCAGGCCAUCUUGCAGCGCCUGGAGGAGAUCGCCAAGUCUUCCUUCAUGAACACCCCUCAGGAGUCCUUCCACACCAUGCAGGAGGACUGGAGGCAGGAGAUCGAGCAGAUGUUUGAUGAACUACGCAGCAGGGAGAAGGAGUUGAGGUCGAGGGAGGAGGAGCUGACGAAGGCAGCACUGCAACAGAAGAUUCAGGAGGAGCUGCUCAAGAAGAGGGAACAGGAACUGGCAGAGCGAGAAAUCGACCUGCUGGAACGGGAGUUAAACAUCCUCAUCCUGCAACAGGUCAUGAACAAACCAACGCCUGUCAAGAGGCAUCGGAAAACACGGUCAAAGCUCAAGUCUAGUGGAGGCAGGAUCAUUAGUGAACCGUCAGGUUUUCGGCACAACAUCACUGUCCAGAAGGAGGGCCUGGUACAAGAGAAGCGAGGGAUGUAUGGUCCAAGCAGUCCAGACAGCCCGCCUGCCUCCCCAGCUCAUGUUUUUCCCGUCUCCGGCACCAGACUCAGGGCUAUAGCAUAUCCUGUGGAUGGUGUGAAGGGGAAGACAUGGGGACCAAGCUCAGUACAGAAGGACCGGCACCAGCGCUCUUCCAUUAUUUUCGCUGAUGGCCGGUGGUCCAAGAGUGCUCCCAAUUUGGAGAAGAGUCUCCGGGCUCUUGGUGGUGGACAUUCCAACAUAGGGGCCUUGAGUGAACUUUAUGAUGAAGAAGAUGAGUGGCCAGAUUUUUCCAAUGAGCAACGAUACAAAAACAUUCCACAGUCUCCAAACAGUGUCCCGGAGUCGUCGAACACUCUAAAGCGUAAUGCUGUGAAAAAGAAAAGUGACAGUUUUCUGUUAAAUGCAGCUGUUAUACUAGCUGCAGUGGCAACUGGUUUUGAUAUUAGGAUCUCAAACACCUCAGCUAUUCACCCUAAUCUUCACGGUCCUACGGAGGACGAGAGAAAUGUGAAGAAAAGGGACUCCUUCAUUCUCAACAGAAGAGAUGCAUAUUUAGGGGCUGUGCGUGACUCUUUUAUCGAGCCUGAAGGCAUGUUUGGGAACCACCCUUACACAAAUGCUUCAGGUUACCGCCAUACAUAUCAUGGUGUGCAGGUACGGCAGAGACCAAGUGUUCAGAAUAAUGAAAAUUUUGAUAGGCCGAUACAUUUCACAGAGCAGGAUGGGGAUAGUCCGGACUCGCAGACUACAAGCACAAUAGGAUCAAAAUCGUCUCCGCACCGGUUGUCUUAUGCAGAUAGUGAUAGCACAGGGGUGUCUGCAACGCCGUCACAAGUUGAUCGCAGCAUUAUGUAUCAGAGGCAGAUCUCAGAUGGCAGUACAUACGAAUCAAGUCGGGCAUCUCAAACCCCGCAAAGACGGUCAGUAACUUUUGAGGAUGAUUUCACCCCGGACAAGCAUGUGGCUACUUACACACACAAACGAACUCCUUCAAAUACCUCAAACACUUCCAAUACGCCACUGGACUAUGAACCACGUUCUACUAAGUAUAAUCCUGACAAGCGACCGGCAGACAGCCAGAAAGGCCAGCCAGUUCCUCCACGUCGCAAGCCCAGUGGUGAUGCACCUCAGAGACCCACCACACUCGAAGUGGGAUCCACCUUUCGUUCUACAUCUCAGCAGCAAACCUCUGCAAUGAAGUACGCCUCCCCCGUCAAUACGGGAGGCAGCCGAGAUUCCCCGCGAGUGUGGGUCACCCCCUCUGAGACUGCCCCCGACAAUGGCUUCUACUCAACCCGCUCCCGCCUGUCACCGGGGAACACACCCCCUCUCAUCCGUCAUCAGAAAACCCUCCUAGACAUUGACAUGGAGGGACAGAGUCAGGACAAGCGGGAAGCGCUUGUUAAACCCAAACCUCUCAGUACAAAACCCACUAUCAGAGACCUAGAGAAAGAAUUUGUCUGGAAAUGAUGCACAAGAUUUUUUAGGCUUUAAGAAAUGUCAGUCUGCAGUAAAUUUAAGUUGUCCAUACUUCUAUUGCCAUACACUCUUUCAGGACUAUUUCUAUGCCAGUUAGUUUCAUCACUGAUUUCUGUUGAUAUUUCAGUAAACAUGCAUUGGUAAUUCUCUUUCUUCAUUGUGAAAUAAAUAAGCCAGUGCGUAUCAUUAUCCUGAUUAUCUUGCUAAAUGAUGUUUCAUAUCCAACCACACUAUAAAUAACGAAGGUAUACAUGAGGUUUUCCAGCUGUGUAAAUGUGGUCCAUGUUCUGUAUUACUCUAGGGUAUUAAGCAUAUUAACUUGAGCAAAUAAGAGGUGUUAUCCUCUUUUUUCGAAGAUUUGCCAAGCAUGUAAAUCUCACCUUACAAGUGCUAUUUGUUUCUGAGAGGUGUACGUUGAUAUUACACACUAUAUCAUAUUACAAUAUAUGUCGUGUCCAAGCUGAACUGGGCCUGUUCGUGAUGUCCCUUUUCUGUGUUGAUUUUAGAUUAGUGUCUCAAGUCUACUAUUCCUUGUGUAAUCAGAAUCGUUUGUAACAAUAUACCCAUUACGUUUGUCAUCUCAUAGUCCUUCUCUAAAGUGAACAAAAAAAAUCCUUUGUACGUGUUUCUACUUUCCUAUGGUGUUCCCCAUCUUGAUCGUCAUGACCGAUAUGCAUUUAUACAUGUAGGAGUGUACUUGUCUACUAAUUUAUAUAUUCUGGUAGUUUUCUUGAGUCAAUUGUAAGCCUUUGAUUUUAACCGGGAAAUCUAUUUAUGAAAUAUUUAUAUAAUGCACAACAAGAGUACAAGUUGCACAGUUACAAAGAAUCCACAAUUGUCACUGUUUGAUUGUGAUACUAGAUAGUCACAGGCUUACAGUUAACUUACCAGUAGAAAUAUGUGCAAUACUCCUAAACAGUGUUGUGCAUUCGAUUGAACCAAACGAUGUAUGUUUUGAGAACACGACAUAAAACUGAGAUAAGUCCUUUCCUUAUUUAAGUGAAGUAUGCUGCAUCUCAGACCCCCUGGGUGUGUAUAUUCAUUGUAUAUCCACAUAGAUUAUGCAAAAAAUCAAAUGAAUCUCUUCUUGUGUAUAUAGAUGUAACAUAUGCUAUUAUAGUCUCAACAUGCUGCAUUUAUGUGUAAGCUGAUCCCUGAGUUGAUAUAUAUGCAAAAACUAUCAUGAGCCUGAAAGUACAAAAUCUGAGUGACCGGCCCAUGUUAUAUCACUGACUGUGUGGGAUGUUCUCAAGGCAGUGCCGGGAAUUGACCUCUUAUAGCUAGCUAUGUCAUCAGUCAUUUAAACAACAGACAGGAGUAAAAGUAACUUGCAAUUUGCUAUUAUUCAGAUCAGUAGCAAAUUAUUUUUCUACUCAUAUGGAAUUAUUUAUAAAUUAUUAUACUUAUUUUUAGACAGAAAAUUUCUGAAGAAAGUUACAAUGAAAGCAAAAUAAAAUUAAGUGUAAAUUAUUAUUUUCUUAGCAUAACUUUUUAAAAAUAAGGUUAGUAAGAUUAAACAUUGAUUUGUUGUAUUUUUAUGAAAAUUAUAUUAGAUUGUAUAUUAUUUUUGUUUGUAAGACUUGUAAUGUAGGACUGUAUCCUUUUUAUCCUAAACCUGGUCCUCACUAUGAGAACAGCUACACAGAUCUGUGAGAUGCAAUGCAGACAAAAACACUGUUGAAGACUUACACAUGUACGGCAGCUAUACUCACUCCCAUCUGGUCAAGAUGGUUUACAUAAUAUAUACGAAAAUAAAUAACUAUAUACUCUCCCUUCUUGAGCAGGGCAAGAGAGGAUGAUAGUACUGUGCUGUGAUGGAAGUUGGUGGCAAAUAAGACAGUAGAUGUUGAUGACUUUUCAGUUGGUGAUAAGUAGACAAGGAGCAAGUCUAGAAGCAGGAAAAUGGUUUUGCCUGAUCUAUUUUCAGCUGUGAUCAUCAAUUUGUGCCUUGUAGGUGGCACAACAUUAGUCUGUGCUUGUGCACACAGUGAUUUUAUUAGCGUUGAUCAAGUGGUUUUAUUAUUGUACAUAUCACGGCCGCAGAAUUGGACUUCAGAUAGUAAAUAUUACCUUUGUAACCAAAGAAAUCCCAUCUUUAAUCCUUUCUGUCUGAAAUAGAAGAUUUUGUGAGGAUUCGAUAUUAAUCUGUUAAAAAUUGAUCUCGAAAAGGACAUAAUCACUUCUAAUGUAAAUCAUACAUUAUAUUUUGUUUACACACUGAAAAUAAUCUAAUUUUUGCAAAGUGAUAGAGACUAUUUUUUAAUUGCUUGUCAAAUUCAUCUCAAGCCAAAGGUCAAAGCAAGUACUGCUGCAUUAAGCUAGUAGCUUAAUAACUGUAUAGAAAGAAACUCAUUUUGUACAUUUAUGGAAAAUAUAAUAUUAUAUUUAAUUAUAGAGUAGCAAAACAGCAGUAGCAGCAACCAAAAAUAUAUUCACAUAUCUAGAUAUUUAAUAUGCUGACACAUUUUUGUGUAUGUCCAAAAUCAACCAAGUAUAGUAGCAUCUAUGCUUGCAGUUGGCUUCUACUUCCAUGUGAAUAUUGUCAGGUAGAUUUUAUACAAUCAAACUUAAGUCUUUGAAAGCUGGCAUUAAUGCAGUACCCGGUUUCCAGAAGCUGUUGGUACUGUUCUAACACCAUGAUGAAUAGGUUCCUAUGUACAGUGAGAGUGUAGAAAGUUUAUAGCAUUUGUCAGGGAUAUUCAUGAUGGACAUGUCUCUCAUUGUGAGCUACACUUUGUAGAGCUGAGGUUUCUGUGUUUGUAGGCAAGGCACAGCCAGGACCCAAGACAGUAAUUAAAGGAUGGAGACAUUUGUUGAAAGGAAAUUAGGUAGACUGUAAAAACAGGGUGUGGUUAAGUUUGUAAUUUUCUUGCAGUUGUAAGGAAACCCUUGUAAAUUGUACGAAAAUACAUUGUGAAGGAAUUCAAAUUUCUAGCUGUAAUUUGUAGGUUUAGGUGGUGAGUCAGUGAUUUAAAGUGAUGAAAUCAUUUUAAAUAAUUUUGAACAUUAUGAUAUGGCACUUUCAAAUGUGAUGCCUUAACCAGUCU